GACNGGUGUGGUGAAGUGGUUAACACACCAGAUUGUGGCUCUGGCAUGCGUGGGUUCGAUCCCCAUCACUCGCCU
rnacentral:tRNA from 1 species